rnacentral:rRNA from 1 species
UACGUAGGGGGCAAGCGUUGUCCGGAUUUAUUGGGCGUAAAGAGCGUGUAGGCGGCCAGAUAGGUCUGUUGUGAAAACUCGAGGCUCAACCUCGAGACGCCGAUGGAAACCAUCUGGCUAGAGUCCGGAAGAGGAGAGUGGAAUUCCUGGUGUAGCGGUGAAAUGCGCAGAUAUCAGGAGGAACACCGGUGGCGAAGGCGGGUCUCUGGGCAGUAACUGACGCUGAGGAGCGAAAGCGUGGGGAGCGAACAGG